UUCUCUGAUGAGUCAGUCGUGGCGUGGCGAGCUAAAACGGCUAAAACUAAAUUUUACUUCAGCCAUCGCUCAUAAAGUGAUAGUUAAGCUGGUUCCGAGCGAGGGAAACCUCGGAAACUACUUGUUUAUGGUACUAAAUCUCAACGUUGGUGUUGUAUCAUGGUCGUGUUGCCGAAAAUAUGCUGCAUUGAGGCGUCAACCUUGGGCUAUCGACAAGAAGGCUUUGAUUUUUCCCACUUCCUUAAUCACUGCCGUGAUUCAUGCAGAAAUUCUGCAAUGGAAAAUGACGCACGCAACGAAGCCAUCCACAGUGCGUGUCCGGAUACCUUAUCAACGCAUUAUCAACGGUGGAAAUACUAAUUGGUGUUCGUCGCUAUCGUACCUAGAGGGCAACAUUUUUUACAAGCAGCUGAUGGACACGAAAAUGCGUAUACUGGGAUGCAAUUGCACGAGAAUUACCAUUACAGAUGCAGCAGCAGGAAAAAGAGUCAUUCAAGAAGACAAAUCCAAACAACAGCGAAGAUGACUUGCGACGAAGAUCGGUUUAUUUUACAAAUGCGUAAACUGUAUGCAGUUCAAAAAAGCUAACGUGAAAAUAGGACCGAAUAACGGUGGAAACCCCAGACGAUCAUCGUUUAAAUGAAGCUUCCCACCCCCAUUUGUUCGAUGGCGAAACCCGGGGGCGACACUAAACGUUAGCAUUCUGGAUGCUACGCCAACACAUCCCGAUGCGACUAGCCAUGAAAUUCGGGCGGGAAAUACCACCCGUGUAAAACGAUGGAGAUACUCGUGGGCGGAAAUGAUCGUGACCUAAGCGACAGUAAAAUGCACAUUGGUAUGCAGUCAAAAUUCUCUCUAGGAUCCAUACGAUCUGUAAUCCAAACACAUUUUUCUUCAGUAAGAAUUUCUUCUGGAUUCACAUAUGAUUCUUUCUCGAAUACGAUCGGUAUUUUUCUUGGAACUCUUCUCAGGAUUCAGUCGGUUUUAUAUCUGGCUCCAGCAAAAAUCUAAAUUCAAUUUCGGAAAGAAUUGAGAAGGUGGCAUUACUGGAUUACAUAACAAUUUCCGACUGGAUUGUAGAACAAACCCCCAGUAGAUUAAAGAAAAUAUCUUGCUAGUUUCAGUUCCUCGAGGAGUCUACCCAGGUUUACCGAAAAAAUGUACAAAUAUAAUAUU